GGGGUUGUGGCUCAGUGGUAGAGCACUUGCCUAACAUGCAUGAGGCACUAGGUAUGAUUCUCAGCACCA
rnacentral:tRNA from 1 species